rnacentral:rRNA from 1 species
AUUGAACGCUGGCGGCAUGCUUUACACAUGCAAGUCGAACGGCAGCGCGGGCUUCGGCCUGGCGGCGAGUGGCGAACGGGUGAGUAAUACAUCGGAACGUGCCCAGUAGUGGGGGAUAGCUCGGCGAAAGCCGGAUUAAUACCGCAUACGACCUGAGGGUGAAAGCGGGGGAUCUUCGGACCUCGCGCUAUUGGAGCGGCCGAUGGCAGAUUAGCUAGUUGGUGGGGUAAAGGCCUGCCAAGGCGACGAUCUGUAGCUGGUCUGAGAGGACGACCAGCCACACUGGAACUGGGACACGGCCCAGACUCCUACGGGAGGCAGCAGUGGGGAAUUUUGGACAAUGGGCGAAAGCCUGAUCCAGCAAUGCCGCGUGUGUGAUGAAGGCCUUCGGGUUGUAAAGCACUUUUGGCGGGAACGAAAAGGACUGUGCCAAUACCACGGUUCGAUGACGGUACCCGCAGAAUAAGCACCGGCUAACUACGUG